rnacentral:rRNA from 1 species
AUUGAACGCUGGCGGCAGGCUUAACACAUGCAAGUCGAGCGGGGUGAUGGUGCUUGCACUAUCACUUAGCGGCGGACGGGUGAGUAAUGCUUAGGAAUCUGCCUAUUAGUGGGGGACAACAUCUCGAAAGGGAUGCUAAUACUGCAUACGUCCUACGGGAGAAAGCAGGGGAUCACUUGUGACCUUGCGCUAAUAGAUGAGCCUAAGUCGGAUUAGCUAGUUGGUGGGGUAAAGGCCUACCAAGGCGACGAUCUGUAGCGGGUCUGAGAGGAUGAUCCGCCGCACUGGGAAUGAGACACGGCCCAGACUCCUACGGGAGGUAGCAGUGGGGAAUAUUGGACAAUGGGGGGAACCCUGAUCCAGCCAUGCCGCGUGUGUGAAGAAGGCCUUAUGGUUGUAAAGCACUUUAAGCGAGGAGGAGGCUCUUUUGGUUAAUACCCAGAAUGAGUGGACGUUACUCGCAGAAUAAGCACCGGCUAACUCUGUGCCAGCAGCCGCAGUAA